UUUCUCAUCUCGCCUGCCGUGCUUCUUUCCCUCCUUUUGUUAUUUCUUCUUUUGAUGAUCUAAAUUCUAUCCUCUUCUUUGCUUUUAUCUUAAAUUAUUUUUCUUCUUUUCUUCUUCAUCUUUUCCCUCCAAUUUCAAUUUCCAAUUCUCUUUCUCAUUCUUUUUCUCCCACCUUGGAUUUCUCCCAUGGCACUGGCACCUCUAAAUUUGAUGAUGAGGACUAUUUUAGCAGGCGAACAGGGGCAGAAGCUCUCUUCCUCAUUCUUUUUCUUCGUCCUUUGAUUUCUCCCAUGCCGUUGACAUGUCUAAGUUUGAUGAUGAGGGUAAUCUUAGUAGGCGAACAAGGGAGAGGGCGACAUCGCUGGAGCAGUGGAUAGUGAAGGGGGAGAUGAGGCUCAGGGAUAUUGGGAUUAAAAAGUUCCUUCAAACCAUCAAGAUUCUCCUUUCCAUUUCAUCGAUCAUCAAUCAAAUAACUUUGCUUUAAACAUUGCCAUUCAAUAUGAGUUUAAGUUUCUAAUAUGCUCCCAUUUCGUUUCAGAUUUUCUCUUCAUUCCCUUGGAAACAUUGCCAAUCAAAUGUCUUACAUGACAUCAAUGCCACAAGAGUAUUGCAGUGAAGGAAAACCUUUAAAAAGCAUAAGAAUUUGAGUUGAGGGAAUCGCGAUGCAAAUCAUAAUAUGGUUCCAUGCAUACUUAUUCGAAUGGGCAUGCAUAUUCAAAUUGUUCAAUAUUUCCAAGGUGUUUCGUGAAUGUUUAAGCAGGUUGGAUCAAACAAUCAGUUUGCAUUAAUCACAAUGCCAAGGAUAACAAUCGUGUAAUAGCAACCUCCGAAUCAUGCUAUACAUUUGAUGGUAUAAAAGAAUUAGUGCUUUGUUACGAGUUAAGCAAUAUGUGUGCGUGUGUAUUUGUGCUUCCGGUGGCAAGGGGACAGAAAUUUUGAUCUUUGUUGUGUUGUUAUGUAUGACAAAAUUUUGAACAUCGUUGGAGGAGUUUUGAAUUGGAAAUUGGAAGGUAACAUUCUCAUGCUUAUCCAAAA